GGGGAGAAAGAGUGACAAGGGAGGGGGAGAAAGAGAGUGACAAGGGAGGUAGGGAGGAGGAGAAAGAGAGUGACAAGGGAGGGAGAGAGAUUGACAUCCAUCACACACACACACACAAUCAAUCACACAAUCAUGCAAACCUUACACACACAGAAACACACAAUGCAUUCCUUACACACACUAAAUGCACCCCGUACACACACUCAAUGCACCCCUUACAGACACACACACUGCAUCCCGUACAUACACAGAAACACAGCUUGC